rnacentral:sRNA from 1 species
AUGUACCACGCGUACACUCCGGUUCCUUCGCGCCGUCCGCAUCCACCUGGCCACUGCUCGCUACGUUGUUGUGUUUAGCC